rnacentral:rRNA from 1 species
CCCUUAGAUGUUCUGGGCCGCACGCGCGCUACACUGAUGCAUUCAACAAGUUCACCUUGGCCGAGAGGCUUGGGCAAUCUUUUGAACAUGCAUCGUGAUAGGGAUAGAUUAUUGCAAUUAUUAAUCUUGAACGAGGAAUUCCUAGUAAACGUAGAUCAUCAAUCUGCAUUGAUUACGUCCCUGCCCUUUGUACACACCGCCCGUCGCACCUACCGAUUGAACGGUUUAGUGAGGGCCUCGGAUUGGUCUCGGCCCGCUCUUUACCGGGCGGCGCCGUUGGUCGAGAAGACGCUCGAACUUGAUCGUUUAGAGGAAGUAAAAGUCGUAACA